ACUUGCACAAGCACUUCCUGAUUCGCCGUAAUACAGCUCAUCAGCUUCCGGUUCCAAGAUGGCAACGUUCUACACCCGGUGUUUACAGGAGCUGACGACCAUAAAUAUCACAGAUGUGCAUCUUUUAUGUCGGGAAACAAAAACUCAGACAAGCAAAUUGGAGAAGGGGUUUAGGCUGUAUGCUUCGACCUACAUUCACAGCUACGAAGAUCAAGCUUUGUGAUUCAUCAGCCAAGGGAUGAAAAAAGAAAGAGUUAAUCUAUGGGCUGAAGCAGCUGUCUCUGAGAGGAAAGGAAAAAACCUCAGUCACCUCCCUUUUACCUGUAUUGUGACUUGUGCCACUACGCAACGGUUGCUCUACCGGAUGGCGUCGUAACUAAUCCCUGGCACUCAGUUGACAGGUUUGUUUAGUUUCCUCUUUGGGUGCAGUUCAAUAACUGCCCCAACUUCCUGUAGGACAACCUGAUGUGUGUGGAUAUCCAAUGCCCUAAUGUGUUCUC